AUUUCAGAUCCAUUCCAAAUCGUGCAUCUAGGUUCAAGUCAUUUUAAAGGGGCUGUGUGCGUAAAAUCAAUACUCUGCUUGCACACUCGAUCAGAAAAUGACCCGUUUAGCGUCCUAACCAGAAAUGUGACCAGAGGAAGUUUGAGAUUUUGAAAAAAAAAAGACUCACCAUAAAAAUAUAUAUAUCAGAUGCAAUGUGUACAAAUCACAAAUCCAUGAGCAGAAAGCAAGCUUUAAUCUCCAUGAUAUGUUCCAACACACAGGUAGAGUCCAGCGUGAGUCCCGGAAGCAAAUAUGAGCACAUCCUAGCGCAAGGCUCGCAAGAGGAGGACGAAGCUCAAUUUGGAGCGUCUUACCGUCCUGGUCUUCAGACAAUCGACUCUUUGUUGCACAGGGAAAUUCACCUCCCUUCAUUAAAAUAACCAAAUAUAUUCACUGCUUCACUUUUGACACAUUGUUACAGCCUUAUUCCCCCCCAAAAAGGUUAAACCCCUGUAAUGAUUUACACAUUUUAUUUGGAGUGUAAUUGCACUCUUGGCCACUAGAUGGUGAGACCUUUAUGUUUAAAAAUCACAUCUGCCUCAGGAUUCACAGCCUAAAUCGUACCUGUAGGACGCCCGCGUUCCUCAUGGAUUAUUCCAGCCGUGGUGAAGAGGCUGAAAACCAAGAGGGAGAAGACGACGGUCAGCUCCUCAAGCGCACCCAAUAAGAACGCCAUCGUCGUCCAACACUGCAGGCCCGACCACGAGAAGGAAGGCCGGCUGGACGAACGGAGGGAAGCAAGGCGGGAUGGAGGGAGCGGAGUAGUUUCCCAGUCGCCAUGACAACCUCACCCCCAGCCAUCUCCACCGCCGUCUUCUUGAUCUAAUUCCACCAUCCGGAUCAGGAAGCGCAAGGUGUCGCGGGACUUGCCUUGUCUCCUUCGACGGGAUGGCCGCCCAUCGAAGGACGGCAAGGCGCGGGGAUGCCAUGGGACUAACGCCAACGUCUGUGUGUGCUUGAGUGUGUGUGUGUGUGUGUGUGUGUUGCCCGGAAACCGCCAGCAUGCCCGUACACCAGAUCACGGUGGUCCCAGCCAGGGAGAACGGCAAGAGCGGCCCUCGGCCCAAAGACAGGAACGAGGGCCCUCAGGCCAAGACCUCUGGUCGCUCAGGGAGUCGAUCCAGCAACAUCUCCAAGGCAAGCAAAUCUACAGCAGGACAAACCAACAUCUCCAAGACGUCCAUCACCCCAUCUACUCAGGAUGUUUGCAGUGUUGUCCAGCUGACCCACGUUGAAGAGGAUGUGUUCGAAUUGCCCACUGCCGGCGACAACAAGAUCCCGCGCCCUGCUCCCAUGACGAUCCCCAGCGCCGCUCUCGGGCCCUCGGCCCCGCCCCCCAAGAAGCAGGUGAAGCGCCGCCACCGCCGCAAGAGGACCAGCUUCGGCCCAUUGGACUGCAUGGAGGCCAAAGACCCGCAACGCAGCGAGACGCGGUCGGAGCGCCCCUCGCGCGACCCCCCGGCGCGCUUCCGCUGCCCGGACUCCACCUCGGAGGACGAGAAGCCGGCGAACCGCAGUUGGGCUCAGGAGAAGUCCAAGCGGGCUCGCCACCGCAGCCGGAGCAAAAGCGGCGAGGAUGUGACCGAGGUGAUGGAGUUGCAAUCGGUGAGCUCCAACGAGUGCAAGGUGGACCGCCCCCUAGUGGUGGACCACGGCGUGAAAAAUCGACGCGGCAAAAGUAGCAGCGGUGGCAGCGGGCACAGCUCGCUGCGGGAAAGCUUGCCCAGUAUGGACAAGGAGCCCAGUCCGCCUGACAGCUCGUCGGAGGACGGCGAGGAGGAGAUGAUUACGAAAAAGUAUCAGGAGAAGGGGGCAGGGCACGGGGACAUGGCGGUGCCCGCGCUUCAAAAGAGCUGCGGCGCCGACGGCGCGCCGCCUCGCGCCUGCUCCGAUGACUCCGAGUUGGAGGUGUGCAGGAUCUGCCACUGCGAGGGCGACGAGGGGUGUCCGCUCAUCAUGCCGUGCCACUGCACGGGUAGCCUGAGCUUCGUGCACCAAGCGUGUCUCUACCAGUGGAUCAAGUCCUCAGACACGCGCUGCUGUGAGCUCUGCAAGUUCGAUUUCAUCAUGGAGACCAAACUAAAACCUCUGCGCAAGUGGGAGAAGUUGCACAUGUCCAAAAGCGAGAGAAGGAAGAUCUACUGCUCGGUGUUGUUUCACCUCAUUGCCAUCGUGUGCAUGCUGUGGUCCGUCUACAUCCUGGUCAAGAGAACCACCGAGGAGAUCAAACUGGGCAAGAACGAGGAAUUAUGGCGGCUUUCGCUCCUGAAGUACUAUACCCCUCAGGGCGUCUUGGAGUGGCCCUUCUGGACCAAACUGAUCGUGGUGGCCAUCGGCUUCACGGGGGGCCUCAUCUUCAUGUAUAUCCAGUGCAAGGUGUACCUGCAGCUGUGGCGCCGCCUCAAGGCCUUCAACCGCAUCAUCACCGUGCAGAACUGCCCCGACAAGAGCCGGCUCGCCAACGGCAAGCGCCAGGCGCCCGCGGAGGGGCCCGCACCCUCAGACGCGUCCUCGGAGGCGGCGGUGGCGGCCAGGCACAAUCCGGUUUGAAGGCGGCAACAUUUUGCAUCGAGAUGGAUCGGACUUCAAGCAUGUAAGAAGGUGAACAUGAGCAGGCCGGCAGGCAAGCGGCGAUUCACCCCGAUGACCACCAAGAGCGAGGAUGAGGUCUCGGCCCCGGAAAGAUUUGUUCAUGCUGAGUAAUGAUUCCAUCAUGCCAUACUUUUGGGACACCUCCAUUCCCUUCAUGCACUUUGUCAAACCGCACGAAAAUCCCCUGGGUAGGCAAAGUACAGCCCGCGGGCGAGCUGAAGCCCAGAAAUUUAAAAGAAGUGAAUUACUAUGACGAAAUACAGGUGCAUGUCAAUAAAUGAGAAUAUGGGGAAAAUGUCCAUCGUGAAGUACUCUAGGGCGGCGACUAAUGAUCGUUUUCAGAAUCUUGAAAUUUGUCGAUUAUUUUGUCGAUUGAAUCUAUAAAUCAAGACCAAAAGUUUGAAUUUGAAACCCUACGUUGAAAAAAAAUUUGACAGUGUGGAAAAUGCACAAACAAAAGAAGAGAAAUCGGGAUAAUAUUUACUUUUGAGAAGCCAAAACAAUUUUUUGGGACAAUUUUAAAUUCGAAUAGCCAUUUGAAUGAUUCAUCACUCAAAAAUAAUGAGCGAUUUGUUUCGUAAUCGAUUAGUCAGGGAUUAACCGUUGCACCUCUAAAUGACCAUAUUUGGUCAUUUUGCUGAUUUUAUUCCAGGUAACAAUCAUCCAAACUCCACUAUCUCGAAAAGUUAAAAGAGAAACUAUUUUAUCUCAAAUAGAAAAUGGAAUUGGCCUCACGUUGUCCUGUGUAUCAUAAUUCCUUCGGUAUGAGUUUCACUUUUGGAAUUGAACCGAGAAAAAUAAUUUUCUCCAAUAUUCUAAUUUAUCGACAUCGUCCUGUAAUUCAUGUAUUUCAACAACAUACAGUACAGUAUUUCAUUUGGUUUGGAGAGUUUAUUUCCGGACAGCGUUUCGCACAUGGACAGUCAGCUCCCCCCUAGUAAGCAUGAUCAUUUGUAGCUUCAAGACAUCAUUUGGGGGGUGGGGGUUUCAAAGGUCAGAUUGCAGUCUUUCACCUUGGCGAUACGUCGAGAAACAAUGUCGUAGUGACUUUGUUCAUUUUUCUACCAGAGUCGACACAAAAAGUUGGCAAAACCAGAACGAUGCCAUUUUUUCCCCUCUUUUUGAUUGGAUAAAAACACAUUCUGACUCUUAGCCUGUGCAAUAAACAAAACUGUAGAAAUUGUUUGUGGUUAAAAAGGCUCAUGAAAGGAAACCGAAAUGUCUUAGCUGGAGUCUGACAUCAGAGCGCUUUUGUCCAACUCGUCAUCGUUGUCAUCACUUUCAUUAUCAUCCAAUUCUU